rnacentral:rRNA from 1 species
UUGGGUUAAGUCCCGCAACGAGCGCAACCCUUAUCAUUAGUUGCUACGCAAGGGCACUCUAAUGAGACUGCCGGUGACAAACCGAGGAAGGUGGGGAUGACGUCAAGUCCUCAUGGCCCUUAUGGGUAGGGCUUCACACGUCAUACAAUGGUCGGUACAGAGGGUUGCCAAGCCGCGAGGUGGAGCCAAUCCCAGAAAGCCGAUCGUAGUCCGGAUUGUUCUCCGCAACUCGAGAGCAUGAAGUCGGAAUCGCUAGUAAUCGCGGAUCAGCAUGUCGCGGUGAAUACGUUCCCGGGUCUU